GGCAAGAUGGCCGAGUGGUCUAAGGCGCCAGACUAAGGAGACCAUUUCAUUGGAUGAAUUACAACAGCACUAUAGCUAGUACAUCUGGUCCGAAAGGGCGUGGGUUCGAAUCCCACUCUCGUCA
rfam:Fibulorhizoctonia sp. CBS 109695 unplaced genomic scaffold FIBSPscaffold_15, whole genome shotgun sequence.